GUCAACUUCAUUCCAGAAACAUCUCAGCAAAGAGAACUGCUCUUGCAAUGUGUAGUGGCAAAGAAGAGCACCCCACAAGGGUUCAAAGUCAGCUCACGGCAUGUUUUCUGGACUUCAAUAACAGGUGGCACCUCUUUAUAACUACAGUGACAGCAGAGCUGGGAGUGACCCAAGGCCAGAAAGAUCUCUGAGGACACUCUGAAUAUAACAAACCUGAGCUGCUCUUCUUUCCCACCACAACUAGGAUUUGCCCUGGAGGUCUAAAACACUGCUGUUCCUUCCUGACCCUGUGGCCACCGGUGUAGGUCAUCUGGCAGCAGAGGGCAGGCAGGCCCACAGCUGGUUGAGCAGACCCUCCCUGCCGGGCUCUCCAGGUGCACUUGUGGUUCUCACCACCACGCGUGGCGAGAAGGAACCUCAUCCCUCGUGAUGAACGAUGGUGUGUGUGUGCCUCCCCAUUCCCCAGUCCCCAUGUGAUGGCAUUGAGUCCCUUUUGGAAGAUAUUAGGUCAUGAGAGUGGGGCCCUCAACGUGGGAGUCCUGAUAAGAGCAGACACAGAUGGCCUGCUAGUCUUUCUCUCCACCCCAUGGGGACAGAGAUAGCAGGUGAACCAGACACCAGCUCUACUGGCACCUUGACUUUGAC
rnacentral:lncRNA from 1 species